rnacentral:piRNA from 1 species
UCCUGGUUUAAUUUGGUCCUCCAUUUUGC